AGAGUGUAGGUAGGUAUUUUAAGGAGCACGUUUUAACUUUAGUGGUAAAUUGACCCUUAAAAGUUUUCAGAGUAAAAGUAGUAUAAGUUAGUGUGAGGAAUAAAAAGGUCAAAUAAAGAGGGUCAGAAGAAAAAAUAUUUUCUAGGGCACCAUUGACUCUAGGGGGUAGGAGCCGCACUACUUGACUUCCUACGUGAAGAUGUUGUCUCUAAAAAUUAAACUAGCUUCUUUAAUUCCUUCUCACUUA
rnacentral:pre_miRNA from 1 species